GACGAACGCUGGCGGCGUGCUUAACACAUGCAAGUCGAACGGAAAGGCCCUGCUUUUGUGGGGUGCUCGAGUGGCGAACGGGUGAGUAACACGUGAGUAACCUGCCCUUGACUUUGGGAUAACUUCAGGAAACUGGGGCUAAUACCGGAUAGGAGCUCCUGCUGCAUGGUGGGGGUUGGAGAGUUUCGGCGGUUGGGGAUGGACUCGCGGCUUAUCAGCUUGUUGGUGGGGUAGUGGCUUACCAAGGCUUUGACGGGUAGCCGGCCUGAGAGGGUGACCGGCCACAUUGGGACUGAGAUACGGGCCAGACGGCUACGGGAGGCAGGAGUGGGGAAUAGUGCACAAUGGGCGGAAGCCUGAUGCAGCAACGCCGCGUGCGGGAUGACGGCCGUCGGGUUGUAAACCGCUUUCGCCUGGGACGAAGCGUGAGUGACGGUAAUGGGUAAAGAAGCACCGGCUAACUACGUG
rnacentral:rRNA from 1 species